rnacentral:lncRNA from 1 species
CGUGGACCCAAGAAGUCCCUGUGCGCUUGCGCAGAGACCGAACUACCGCUUUCCCCGUAACCAGGGAGACUGCAGUUUGCAGUGAUGUGGCUAAGAUACCCUUGUGCUAUUAAAGGCACAUUUACGUAUCUUUCAACGCAGUUUGUACCUUUGUUUAGGGUUCUAUUGAACUUUCUCUGUGCUCUUUAGAAAACCGUCGAAUAAAGGUAACCAUCUUUUUGGGUGCCUGGGCAUGGUCAUUGUCCCAGAGUUUUAACAGAAGUCUCUACUAAAGUAUCCUGAUUUGCAAGGGAGGUCAUGGACCAAGUACAAAGCGGCAAAAGGAUGGAAUUAAGGGAUAUUUCCAGUGAAAGAAAGAAGAAAGCAUGCUUUUCUCUUGACUGUGCAGAAAAAAAAACUAUGUUUCUUUGAUUCUCCAUUUUACUAGAUGCCAUACCUUUGCAAUUACUUCAUGUGGAGUCUUGACCAAGAUUCAGGAAAUACUAGAACUUUCAGUCCCAGAAGGUUACUCUGGGCAUUACUAGUCCCCAUCAUUAUGAGUUGAGUUUUACUAGUUAAUUUCAGACGAAAAAUAUUUGUUUUUCCCCAAAUUCUGGGGUUACGUACUUUUACUACCUAUGAACUGACAACUGUAUCUUCAGUAAUUACAAUUUCCAACAAAAUGUUAUAGGAAUAAAGAAAAGAUGUUAGUUCAUUAUUCAGAGUUUAUGUUUAUUCCUUUAAUAAAAAGAAAUGGUCUGUA